GGGCGGGCAGCGCCGGGUGGCGCAUCGCGUCUUGAACACGCGACGGCCGCAGCGGCCGGCGGUUCGAUUCCGCGCUCGCCCUCCA
rnacentral:tRNA from 1 species